rfam:Picea glauca, whole genome shotgun sequence.
AGUGUAAUUCAUACAACAUUAAUGCACUAGAUCCCAUUAUAAAUCCAUAGUUAAGCUUGCUUUGGAUAGAUUAGUACUGGGUUGGGUGACCUCCUGGGAAGUCCUGGUGUUUUACAUGC